UUCACCGAGGGAUGUUCAGGUUUACUUUAUGAAAUAGAUGCUCGAGAUACUUAAUGGUCUGAAAAUGCGAUAAUUUCCAAUUCAAAGGUUUAUAUUGGUCAACCAGAUCUUAAUCGUAUCAUUGUUUUCCAUACGCAACAAUUAAACGUUGUCCAUGUUAUUGGAACUGACCCAAGACCUAAUCAUCUUUGGCUGGUCUGAGGAGAAGUUGAAGAUCGCAUUUGGAUUCUUAAUUCUGGAACAGACGAUUUAAUCGGAGGUAAAAUUAUUAAUUCUAAUGGCGAAAAUUCUGAACCUGAAAACUUUGGCUGGGAUUCAAUCUCUCGAGAUCAACAACGACACAAUAGGAAAACUGUCCAAAUAAUCCGAAUAACCCAAUCAGACCGAAAUCAUAAUGUUAUCCACUUUAAACCGAUUGAUGGUCAUUUUGAUUUAGUUUAUAAUCUUUUCAUACCUCAACCAUCAACGGUUGAAAUACACAAUUCACACGGCAAUUCAAGAUUUGCAUAUGUUACCCAUUGGGAUGAAAGGACUUUAAUUAAAAUUGACAUGGAACAAUUUCGCUAUGUAAAAACAAUUAAUCUCGCUGAUUGUCAACCAAUUAACGCUGUUUUUACUGAUUAUGGUUUAACCAUAUUACAAUGUCAAACUCCAGUUACUCAUCAAUUGAAUGGUCAAUUAAUUUUGGAUCAAUUAACUGAUUCAAUAAUAAGUUAUAAUGCUCACAUCAAAGCUCAUCAUUCAUUUAUAUCACCAAGUCAUCAAUUCUUGGUCAACUUUGAUACUUGGCUAUUAUUGUUGUUUG